ACAGAACUCAAAACCUCUAUUUUUCUUAAGUGAAUAUAGGAACCAUGAAGCUCUGUAUGCUUGUGCUGAAGGCAUGGUCUGUAGAGGAUCAGGUUGUAGUUGGCUGAAGUCUCCUGAAGACUACUGGACCUCUUGCCAGGGCACAUUCCUUGUAGAAGACUUCUCCUUGGUACAAUGCCUUGGUGGCUUUGGAGCCCACCAUGGCUAUGACGUGUGGCACUGCCUGAUGGCCUCAAACACAUUCGUUCUCUUAUGUAGAACUUGACGUGGGGGAGCUGGGUAAGUGAAACCUGGUAGCUGGUUCCUGAAGGUCUCUGCCACUGGAGGGGGACAGAGGACCUCGCUGCAGAGAUGCUGGGGGCGAUGUGUGGUGCAUCAGCUACAUCAGUGGGUUCAGUGCUGGGCUGGGCUGGCCAAGACCACCUGCGAGAGGUGCCACACAGGGACACCAUGGUGAGGUGAGUGCUAGGCUCUGAAAUGUCACAUUUUGCCUGGCAGAGCUUCCUGCGGAGCAGAGAGUCUCUCCAAGAAGACAUGGUCUCAGCUCUGGUCAAGAGGAGGCCACCUGGGCAGCUCGUGCCUUGCUCACUCACUGGGCUCUUGUGCUGCCGUUGUGCCAAAUACAACAGAGAACUAACUGGGUGGCAGCUCCCCCUGCACAUUUUGAGAGGGUGUGGCAAGUUGGGAGUGGCUUUCCCACACUGGGGUACCCUGAGGAGCAGACACUUCUGUCCUGACCAGCUUGCUGUGGCCAACGAGACCUGAUCGAUGAAUGAAGCGAGGUUUGGCACGCUGCCGUCAGGCUGCAUUGUGCAACAGUGCAUGAUGCAACUGAACUUUACAUAACCUGAUGCAACACCUAGAGCUGGAGUUUAAAGCUGCACGUCCUGGGUCAUUACUGUAUGGUGGAUAUACCUCCCUGACAUAUACAGGCAUGAGGUCAGCCAGUGUGUGGACAGUAGCACUGCUCUGGGCAACUCUGGCUUUACUCUUGGGUUUGAAAUUGCUUCAAACAAACAAACAAACUAUGGCUCGUUAAGGGUGACUAGACCAAGGGCAGAGGCAUGAUCCAUGUGUAUUGCAGGCAGCAACUGUGGAAAUGUCAUCCAUGCAGCUCAGCUUGUGCCCUCCAUUCCUAUCUGCAACUCGUCCAGCCCAAAGCCUCUUUCUACACUCCUGCCCUUCAGCCCUGGCUCGUGCAGGCCUGGACCCCAGCUCUGACCCUGUCCUGCAGCCUCCUGAUGCCUGUGACAGCACAGUUCUUCUUUGCAGCCUCUCUCCUUCAGAUGCUCCUGAACAGCUUCCUCUUCACAUGUGAAAUAAUGACUUUGAGCUCCGUGCUGUGUUAAAUAGGUUGCCUUGCACUCUGCAGAGCUGAUGCUUAGCCUGGUAGCAAUACUCCUCUCCUGAGGCAGGACACCAAUGCUUUACAAGACAGUAAAAUGUAAGAUAAUUGCUUUAAAACUGCCCAUGGCCUGACUUUCACUAUUGUCCAUCCUGGACUUCAGGCCGAAGUAAUUUUUCAUCUUUUCUUUGGCAUUUGUCAUAUUUAACCUAAAGGAAAACAGAGAGGAGUUGCUAGCCUGUUGUUUUCUGUACAAGCAGUGACAGUUUACAGCUGUUGUGAGGUCUGGCAUGUGCGUGGUGCCUGAGCAAGGCAGGGGAAGCGGGAGUAUGUCAGGGAGGAAGGAUGAGCCGCACCAAAUAACCAGUCACGGUACUCCCUUUUCUUCUGCAGCAGGGGGAUUCUGCAACGCCCCUCACUGCUGUAGCAUUGGACCGGUCUAGGCAGCAUAACUGCCAACAGCAGUAGCUUCUAUGGGCUUUUCUGUCUCUCCCUCUGCCUUCCCAGCCUGUCCCCACUGGGGGAUUUGGCUCCCAUGGAGGCAAGAGAAAGAAGCAGAGCCUGGAAAAAGCCAGGUCUUCUUUUUGAAUGAGGAUCAGGCUGGCACGACCUCAAGUAUUACCUGGCUUUCCCUUCCCCCUCAGGGGAAGCUAAUCCCAGGCAUCACCAAGCACUGCCAAGUUUGCAGGGAAAAUGCCACUAGCAGGAGCAGCACUUCCUUCUGAAACUGGACUGGGAGGGGAAAAGCUGGUAUCCCCUUUCUGAUGUGACUCUGUACCUGUGACUCACUGCCAUCUCAGAUACCUUUCCAAUCAUGCUCUUGUGCCUGCAGUCAGUGCUUGGGUGCCUGGUAAAGCCUCUUUUCAGCUUUUUAUGCCAGGCCUCAAUGAUGUAACACCCCAGGUGAAUUUCCACAUCUCUGCCAGAAUAUACUGCAGUGCUAGAAGGGAGGCCUGAAAAAUGCCUUUCCCUACUUGGGGGACUGGAUUGUCCCUGUGCAUUGAUGGGCUAUCUCUCCAGUUCCCUCCUUCCCCCAACAUACAUGGGCCCCUUUUCUCUGCUCCCUAUUGUGCCCUCCACCAUUGAUGAAGCCAAGAAGACAUUUGCUUGCUUGGCCAUGAGGAGAGACAGUGCUUGCAGAGUUAGCAAGUAUCAUGAGGCACCUCUGCCCCUCUCAUGUGGUGCCAGGAGAGAUCCCUCAUGGCAUAGGGAGGGAUUAUAGGGCACUCACUCAUAACCAUCCUGUCAGCUGACUGCUGCAUUCGCAAUGGCUUACAGGAAGGCUGAGUCCCCCCGACUGCUGCAUGGUGCUGGUCUCCUUACUCCCAUUUCUCUAUCAGCAAGGUAGGGACUGUGAACCAGAAAGCAAAGGCAUCACAUUGUCCCUUAUGGCGAAGAGAGAAGAAAAGAGGUCAAAGGUCUGAAGCUGUGAGCACAGACAUGUUGGCAGUGGUGUGAGCUAUUUGUGUGCUGUGGUGAGGCCUCGACACCGCUGACCACGUACAUACAACAGCCUGGGUGUUUGAACUCCACCCAGUGAGGAUUCACUGGUAUGAGAGCAGCACCUGACAUGGAGAUCACCAGGUGCCCGAGAUCAGUUCACUGAUAUUCUGGGAGGAUGUAUAAUCAAAACUGUUCUUUACAUCCCUGAACUAAACAGCCUCCAGGAAGCAAAUAAAUGGUUAAGAAGACAGGCUAAAGUGCUGAAGGAGAAAGCAACAUUUGCUCCGUGCUCAUGGCCAAGUUGUAGUGGGAGAGACUGUUGUGUAUACUCAGCAAGCGCUGAUCCGUGACCGUGUGGCUCUUCAUGUUAUGUCUAAGUAGGAAAGAAAAACGCAAAAUGGUGAUCAGAGUGGGAUUAUAAUCCAGGAAUACAGUGGCUGCUAAAAAGAUAAAGAGGAAACCACAGAAUAGUGGCUUCUGUUAAACCAGGGGGGGAAAUGCUUGCCAAAAUGGUGGAAGUUUUCCCAAAUCCUCUCUUCAUAAAGGCAGUUGUGAUGACAAUGCAUUUAAGAUCCUGAAAAACUCAAUUAAAAUAAAAAAAAAGAAAAAUUAAAAAAUUUCUAAAUAUGGGGGUGGGGGGUUUAAGGAAAUUACUAGUAUAUUGCCAGUUUGGAGAGAGUUUAAAUACUGUGUCAAGGGAGCGGUUAGUGUGUGGUAUGUAAAAUGAAGCAAUACAAAAACUGUUAUUAACUGAGUCUGAUUUGCCCUUAAAAUGUGCUCUAGGAACUGCUGUGUCAAAGGAUACAGCUACUCCAGAAGACAGGGAGUUGCAACAGCAUCAAACAGCCUGAAACAAAACUUUCAUUGUUCCCCCUUUGGGGGACAGUCACCCCUUUGGAGUGAAAGUCCUUCAGGAGAGUAUCAGAACUGAAAACAUUCAUGACAGGAAGCUUUGUUGAAGCAGAAACAUGCUUUUAUUUCCACUGUGCUCCUGAGAACCAAUCUGCAUAACGACCAGUGUAGAGGCAGAAUGGCAACAUCGACAGGACCUGGGAUCCUCUCAUGGGUUACUGAGAAAGGAUGAGGUGUCAGCAAGGAGGAAAGAGAAGCCUUUCCAUUCUGUGGUGGUUCCCUAGUUGCUAUGAACAAAGAUGGGUAUCCUUCGCCUAGGUUUGACCAAGCAAAAUCUAUCAGCCAUGUGGGAAUCUAGCUAAUGGAAAAAAACCCCUGCGAAUAACGCACAUAAGAUUUUGCUCCAGUAUAAUAGACCAGCACUAGGAUAGUUUCCACACCUUUGUUCUGAUGGAGGGUCACGGAGCAGCUAUUGCAAAACAUUUUUAACUUUCAGAGCAAUGUAGGCAAGGAUUAAUGGAAAUGACGAUGAGGGAUGUCUGCAGAGGUACUGGUGAGGCUCUCAAGAAUGGCUGGACAGCAAAUGAGGGAAAAGUGAAUUUUCCAGAGGCUCAGCCGUAUGCUGUAGGUCUUGUAGAUGAUAUUCAUAAAUCACCAGUAAUGCAUGAGACUAUCCUCAAGGCACCUCAACUACAAGAUAUGUCACAAUUAUCUUCCUUUCUGGGGAUAGGCAGUUAUUACCAAGGGGUCUUGCCCAAUACAUCGACACUAUUACACUCCCUAAAUAGACCAGUGCACAAAGGACAGAAGUAAUGUUGAUCCACACGAUGUGCCAAGGCUCCAGAUGAAGCAAACAACUUUGCAUUAACAGAAAAUGAAACUCUGCUUGUAAAAUUAGCUUGCAGCACUUCACCAUGGGCCUGAAACACUGAUGCUGAAAGCCAGCCGUCAGGGUAAAAUACUCAAAAGACCCACACUUGGGGAUCACUGGCAUCCAUUUACAGCGCUGUGCUUACACCCAGAGAACAGACCCACGUGUCGUCUUGGGAGGUCAGCGGUUUAACCGCAGCUUAUCUCAAGAGGAAACAAUUUACUCUGGUUGCAAAUGUCGAACACUGGCUUCAGUGUUAGCAGUAACAGCCUGGUUAGAGACAAGGAGGUUUUCUGGGCUACUCCCUGCUCUGGUGGUGUGGUAGGAAUACGUAGUGACUGGUACCACAGGCACCUGAAGAGUGACACGUACCUUGACACAUUAUGAAACUGAGGACAAGCCAAGGCAACCGAGGCAUCUGAUGAGAGGAUGAGAGGAUGGGCUUAGCACGCAGCAUCUUUGAGCCUUCUUGGCUGGAAAGAGAGGACUGAAACACAUGUCCAGGUUGCCUAACGUGUGGCACCAGAGCAGUUACUGUAAUAAAUCUCAGGUCUACUGUACUCCAAGAAUUACAUGAUGACCCUCUGGGAAUAAUAACUAUGAAAGCCCUGGCUGGAAAUUUGGUUCAGUGGCCAGACACUGAUACGCAGAUAGGAGAAAUGACAAAACUAUGUCAAGGGUAUUAAUAAAGCUAGUUGGGAAAUUUUCCAUCAGAAUAAUUCUCCGAUGGAAAAUGCCCUUUUCACUAACUCAGCAGUUUCUGUCAAAAUUGCAGAUUUCCAUUGGGAAAAUCAAGCUGAUGCAAAAAAGCUUGGCUCUUCUUUUGCGAGGAGAAAAUAAAACUGCCUGGAGUGUUGUAGGCAGACUAACAGGAAUUGCCCUUCUGUGCAGCUUUCAGACACCCAGCCUUCCCCUCGGGUCCAGAAAUCAGAGAUACAGCUGAGCAGUCAGAGGUGCAAGAAGGCUGGAAGAUGGGAAGUCACCCCACUAAGUUUUUGACAGCUAAACUGCCCCAGAAAGCGAAUAUAUCCCUAUCAGAUGGACAGCCAGGAAGCCAGAAUUUUUCAUUCUGGUUCUUUUAAAGCACAGUUUUUGUGUAACUCUAGUAAAACCAGCAUUUUUUAUUUUUCA